CCUACGGGAGGCAGCAGUAAGGAAUAUUGGACAAUGGAGGCAACUCUGAUCCAGCCAUUCCGCGUGAAGGAAGACGGCCUUAUGGGUUGUAAACUUCUUUUAUACAGGAAGAAACCUUUCCACGUGUGGAAAGCUGACGGUACUGUAAGAAUAAGGAUCGGCUAACUCCGUGCCAGCAGCCGCGGUAAUACGGAGGAUCCAAGCGUUAUCCGGAAUUAUUGGGUUUAAAGGGUCCGCAGGCUGUUUGUUAAGUCAGAGGUGAAAUCCUACCGCUCAACGGUAGAACUGCCUUUGAUACUGGCAAACUUGAGUUAUUGUGAAGUAGUUAGAAUGUGUAGUGUAGCGGUGAAAUGCAUAGAUAUUACACAGAAUACCGAUUGCGAAAGCAGAUUACUAACAA
rnacentral:rRNA from 1 species